rnacentral:rRNA from 1 species
CAGUCGCCGCGGUAAUACGUAGGUCCCGAGCGUUGUCCGGAUUUAUUGGGCGUAAAGGGAGCGCAGGCGGUUUAGUAAGUCUGAAGUUAAAGGCAUUGGCUCAGCCAAUGUAUGCUUUGGAAACUGUUAGACUUGAGUGCAGAAGGGGAGAGUGGAAUUCCAUGUGUAGCGGUGAAAUGCGUAGAUAUUCGCAAGAACACCAGUGGCGAAGGCGGCUCACUGGCCCGAUACUGACGCUGAGGCACGAAAGCGUGGGGAGCGAACAGGAUUAGAUACCCCGGUAGUCCCUGUCUCUUAUACC